AUCUCGCCUGAGUGGUUCUCCUGCACGCCUGCCUGUCAUUAGCAGUCGUGUUCGCAGCUGCUGCCCAGUCUUCCUCCGGAAUAGGGGAGGGAGAGGGAAUGAGAAGCUGCAGCGGCCGAGGAGUCACCGUGACCGUCCCGCCGCCACCCUCGGGCCCCCUCGGCCCCCGCGCCUCCGGGGAGCAGCCGGGGCUCGCCGCGCCUGACGCGUCCCGAGUCACACAGAAAUAAUGUUGAUAUUUGGAACCCAUGUCGAACUUCUAUGAAGAAAGGGCAACAAUGAUUGCAGCCGGGGAUUUGCAGGAAUUUGUUCCUUUUGGUCGAGACCACUGCAAGCACCACCCUAAUGCUUUGAACCUUCAGCUUCGCCAGCUGCAGCCAGCGUCGGAGUUAUGGUCUUCUGAUGGUGCCGCUGGCUUGGUGGGAUCCCUUCAGGAGGUUACGAUCCACGAGAAACAGAAGGAGAGCUGGCAGUUAAGGAAAGGCGUAAGUGAAAUUGGAGAAGAAGUAGAUUACGAUGAGGAGCUCUAUGUGGCUGGAAAUAUGGUUAUCUGGAGCAAAGGAAGUAAAAGCCAGGCAUUGGCUGUUUAUAAGGCGUUUACAGUUGACAGUCCUGUUCAACAGGCAUUGUGGUGUGACUUCAUUAUAUCACAGGAUAAGUCUGAAAAGGACUAUGGUAGUGAUGAAGUAGAAAAAUGCAUAUGUAUAUUGCAAAGCUCAUGUAUUAACAUGCAUAGCAUAGAAGGAAAGGAUUACAUAGCUUCUUUACCUUUUCAGGUUGCAAAUGUUUGGCCCACGAAGUAUGGCUUGUUGUUUGAACGAAGCAGCUCUUCACAUGAGGUUCCUCCAGGCCCACCCAGAGAACCUUUACCCACUAUGUUCAGCAUGCUGCAUCCACUAGAUGAAAUCACACCUCUUGUUUGUAAAUCUGGAAGUCUUUUUGGUUCAUCACGGGUACAAUAUGUUGUAGAUCAUGCAAUGAAAAUUGUUUUUCUCAACACUGAUCCCUCCGUUGUAAUGACCUAUGACACCGUUCAAGGUUUGCAUUCUGUGUGGGCUCUCCGGAGAGUCAAAACAGAGGAAGAGAAUGUUGUUUUAAAGUUCUCUGAACAGGGGGGCACCCCACAGAAUGUGGCCACCAGCAGCUCGCUCACAGCACACCUCAGAAGCCUCUCCAGGGGAGACUCCCCCGUGGCUUCCCCCUUCCAGAACUACUCCUCCAUCCACAGCCAGAGUCGCUCAGCCUCCUCGCCCAGCCUACACUCCCGCUCACCUUCCAUUUCCAACAUGGCAGCUCUCAGUCGUGCUCAUUCUCCAGCCUUAGGAGUGCACUCUUUUUCAGGGGUGCAAAGGUUCAACCUUUCAAGCCAUAAUCAGUCUCCAAAGAGACACAGUAUUUCUCAUUCUCCAAAUAGUAAUUCUAACGGCUCCUUUCUUGCACCAGAAACAGAGCCAAUUGUUCCUGAACUUUGUAUGGACCAUUUAUGGACAGAAACGAUUACUAAUAUAAGGGAGAAAAAUUCACAGGCCUCAAAAGUCUUUAUUACAUCUGAUCUAUGUGGGCAGAAGUUCUUGUGCUUUUUAGUAGAGUCCCAGCUCCAGUUACGAUGUGUAAAGUUUCAAGAGAGUAAUGAUAAAACCCAGCUCAUCUUUGGCUCCGUCACCAACAUACAGGCAAAGGAUGCAGCUCCAGUGGAGAAGAUAGACACUAUGCUGGUCCUGGAAGGCAGUGGAAACCUGGUGCUGUACACAGGAGUGGUUCGGGUGGGAAAGGUUUUUAUUCCUGGGCUGCCAGCUCCCUCCCUGACAAUGUCGAACACGAUGCCUCGGCCCAGCACCCCACUUGACAGCGUUAGUACUCCUAACCCUCUGAGUAAGCUGCUUGGAUCCCUGGAUGAGGCUGUUCUAUUGUCCCCAGUUCCAGAACUAAGGGAUUCUUCAAAGCUUCAUGAUUCUCUCUAUAAUGAGGAUUGUACUUUCCAACAGCUUGGAACUUACAUUCAUUCUAUAAGAGACCCUGUCCAUAACAGGGUAACGCUAGAACUGAGUAAUGGCUCCAUGGUUAGGAUCACUAUUCCUGAAAUUGCCACCUCUGAAUUAGUACAAACUUGUUUGCAAGCAAUUAAAUUUAUCCUGCCAAAAGAAGUAGCUGUUCAGAUGCUUGUCAAGUGGUACAGUGUCCACAGUGCUCCAGGAGGACCCAGUUAUCACUCAGAGUGGAACUUAUUUGUGACUUGUCUCAUGAACAUGAUGGGUUAUAACACAGACCGCUUAGCAUGGACAAGGAAUUUCGACUUUGAAGGAUCACUUUCCCCAGUCAUUGCACCCAAAAAAGCAAGACCUUCUGAGACAGGAUCUGAUGAUGACUGGGAAUAUUUACUAAAUUCAGACUACCACCAGAAUGUUGAGUCUCAUCUUUUGAAUAGAUCUUUAUGUUUGAGUCCUUUGGAAGUUUCACAGAUGAAGGAUGAGGAUUUGUCACAGAAUCUCAGUUUGGACUCUUCUACACUUCUUUUCACUCACAUACCUGCAAUUUUUUUUGUUCUUCACCUGGUCUAUGAGGAGCUUAAGUUGAACACUCUAAUGGGAGAAGGAAUUCGUUCACUUGUUGAACUUCUCGUUCAGUUGGCAAGGGACUUAAAAUUGGAGGCUUAUGUAGAUCAUUACUAUAGAGAUUACCCAGCACUUGUCAGAACUACUGGACAAGUGUGUACAAUUGAUCAAGGACAAACAGGAUUUAUGCAUCAUCCAUCAUUUUUUACUUCUGAGCCACCAAGUAUUUAUCAGUGGGUGAGUUCUUGUCUGAAGGGUGAAGGAAUGCCACCCUAUCCUUACCUCCCCGUCAUCUGUGAAAGAAGCAGACUUGUAGUCUUGAGUAUUGCACUCUACAUACUUGGUGAUGAAAGUUCUGUUUCUGAUGAAUCCUCACAGUAUUUAUCCAGAAUAAGUAUAGCCCCACAGAAGUCACAAGCAGAGCAAGAGGAGAACAGGUUUAGUUUCAGGCAUUCUACAUCAGUUUCUAGUCUAGCUGAGAGAUUAGUCGUCUGGAUGACUAAUGUAGGUUUCGCUUUAAGAGACUUGGAAACCCUUCCCUUUGGAAUUGCUCUUCCCAUCAGAGAUGCGAUUUAUCACUGUCGGGAGCAGCCUGCUUCAGACUGGCCAGAAGCUGUUUGCCUGUUGAUUGGGCGUCAGGAUCUUUCCAAGCAGGCCUGUGAAGGAAACUUGCCCAAAGGGAAAUCUUCUGUUACUCAGGUGCUCUCAUCAGAUGUUCCUUCAGGAACAGAAACUGAGGAGGAAGAUGAUGGCAUGAAUGACAUGAAUCAGGAGGUGAUGUCACUAAUAUGGAGUGAAGACUUAAGGGUGCAGGAUGUGCGAAGGCUUCUUCAGAGUGCACAUCCUGUCCGCGUCAAUGUGGUGCAGUACCCAGAGCUCAGUGACCACGAGUUCAUUGAGGAAAAAGAGAACAGAUUGCUCCAGUUGUGUCAGCGAACUAUGGCUCUUCCAGUAGGACGGGGAAUGUUUACCUUGUUUUCAUACCAUCCUGUUCCAACGGAGCCAUUGCCUAUUCCUAAGUUGAAUUUGACUGGGCGGGCACCCCCUCGGAACACAACAGUAGACCUGAACAGUGGCAACAUCGAUGUGCCUCCCAACAUGACCAGCUGGGCCAGCUUCCAUAAUGGUGUGGCUGCCGGCCUGAAGAUAGCCCCUGCCUCCCAGAUCGACUCAGCCUGGAUUGUCUACAAUAAGCCCAAGCACGCCGAGUUAGCCAAUGAGUAUGCUGGCUUUCUCAUGGCCCUGGGUCUGAACGGGCACCUUACCAAGCUGGCUACUCUCAAUAUCCAUGACUACCUGACCAAGGGUCAUGAGAUGACAAGCAUUGGACUGCUCCUUGGUGUUUCUGCUGCUAAACUAGGCACCAUGGAUAUGUCGAUUACACGGCUUCUUAGCAUCCACAUUCCUGCUCUCCUGCCCCCAACGUCCACAGAGCUUGAUGUUCCUCACAACGUCCAAGUGGCUGCAGUGGUCGGCAUCGGCCUUGUUUAUCAAGGGACAGCUCAUCGGCAUACCGCAGAAGUCUUGUUGGCUGAAAUAGGACGGCCCCCUGGUCCUGAAAUGGAAUACUGCACGGACAGAGAGUCUUACUCUUUGGCUGCUGGCUUGGCUCUGGGCAUGGUUUGCUUGGGGCACGGCAGUAAUUUGAUAGGUAUGUCUGAUCUCAAUGUGCCCGAGCAGCUUUAUCAGUACAUGGUCGGAGGCCAUAGGCGCUUUCAAGCAGGGAUGCACAGGGAGAAACAUAAAUCUCCAAGUUAUCAAAUCAAAGAAGGAGAUACCAUAAAUGUGGAUGUAACUUGUCCAGGUGCCACUCUCGCUUUGGCCAUGAUCUACUUAAAAACCAAUAACAGAUCCAUUGCAGAUUGGCUCCGAGCUCCCGACACCAUGUAUUUGCUGGACUUUGUGAAGCCAGAAUUUCUCUUACUUAGGACGCUUGCUCGAUGCCUGAUUUUGUGGGAUGAUAUUUUACCAAAUUCCAAGUGGGUUGAUAGCAACGUUCCUCAAAUUAUAAGAGAAAAUAGUAUCUCUCUCAGUGAAAUCGAAUUGCCGUGUUCAGAGGAUUUGAAUUUGGAAACUUUGUCGCAGGCACAUGUCUACAUAAUUGCAGGAGCUUGUUUGUCUCUGGGUUUUCGAUUUGCUGGCUCAGAAAACUUAUCAGCAUUUAACUGUUUGCAUAAAUUUGCAAAAGAUUUUAUGACUUAUUUGUCCGCACCUAAUGCUUCUGUAACAGGUCCUUACAACCUGGAGACUUGCCUGAGUGUGGUGCUGCUGUCUCUCGCCAUGGUGAUGGCUGGCUCGGGGAACCUGAAGGUUUUGCAGCUUUGUCGCUUCUUGCACAUGAAAACAGGUGGUGAAAUGAACUAUGGUUUCCACUUAGCCCAUCACAUGGCCCUUGGACUUCUGUUUUUGGGAGGAGGAAGGUACUCUUUGAGCACAUCGAACUCUUCCAUUGCCGCUCUCCUCUGUGCCCUUUACCCGCACUUCCCAGCUCACAGCACUGACAACCGGUAUCACCUCCAGGCUCUCCGGCACCUGUAUGUGCUGGCUGCAGAACCGAGACUUCUUGUGCCCGUGGAUGUGGACACAAACACGCCCUGCUAUGCCCUCUUAGAAGUGACCUAUAAGGGCACUCAGUGGUAUGAACAAACCAAAGAAGAACUGAUGGCUCCUACCCUUCUUCCAGAACUCCACCUUUUAAAGCAGAUUAAAGUUAAAGGCCCACGAUACUGGGAACUGCUCAUAGAUUUAAGCAAGGGAACCCAACACUUGAAGUCAAUUCUUUCCAAGGACGGGGUUUUAUAUGUUAAGCUCAGAGCGGGUCAGCUCUCGUACAAGGAAGAUCCAAUGGGGUGGCAAAGUCUGUUGGCCCAGACUGUUGCUAACAGGAACUCUGAAGCUCGGGCUUUCAAGCCUGAAACGAUUUCAGCAUUCACUUCUGAUCCAGCACUUCUGUCAUUUGCCGAAUAUUUCUGCAAACCAACUGUGAACAUGGGUCAGAAACAGGAAAUUCUGGAUCUCUUUUCUUCAGUGCUAUAUGAAUGUGUGACCCAGGAGACCCCGGAGAUGUUACCUGCAUACAUAGCAAUGGAUCAGGCUGUAAGAAGACUGGGAAGAAGAGAAAUGUCCGAGACAUCUGAACUUUGGCAGAUAAAGUUGGUGUUAGAGUUUUUCAGCUCCAGAAGCCAUCAGGAGCGGCUGCAGAACCACCCUAAGCGAGGGCUCUUUAUGAACUCGGAAUUCCUCCCUGUUGUCAAAUGCACUAUUGAUAAUACUCUGGACCAGUGGCUACAAGCUGGGGGUGAUGGGUGUGUGCACGCCUACCUCAACGGGCAGCCCUGCGAGGAGUCGCAGCUGAAAAUGCUGGCCUGUUUCCUCGUCUACCACUCAGUGCCAGCCCCACGGCACCUGCCGUCUAUAGGACUAGAAGGGAACACAAGUUUCGCAGAACUUCUCUUCAAAUUUAAACAGCUGAAGAUGCCAGUGCGAGCUUUGCUGAGAUUGGCUCCUUUGCUUCUUGGAAAUCCACAGCCAAUGCUUAUGUGAUCAUGUCUGGUGUGGGUGGAUGGUGUAACCCGGAUGCUUUGACAAGAUUUGGAGACUGUUUUAAAUUGUGAAUGGAGAUAUGUUGGAUCCACCGGAUGGUACUGAAGUCAAGGAGGAGAACUCCACAGACGAUGAUCCCAAACCCCGCAGCUGGCAGUCUCCUCGCUGUGCCGGGCACUCCCUGAGCACUGCCCUCAGAUGACCAGAGCUUACGGAAGCGCUUGCAGCGUUGACCUGGAUUGUGAAAGCGCCAAAAUGGAAAGCUUACCUCCUUUAUCUACCUCCUGGAGAUGUGGAGACAAAUGAGAGAAAGAAAACUUAUGUGGAAAAAACUGAAAAACGUUACCCAAAAGUUGGAAAUAAGGAUAAAGGAUGACUCCGUGUCCUUUCAAUGUCCUACCAGAAAAACCUGCUUUGUAAGUAUCAUUACUCCAGAUGGGAGAAAUCCACGGGGGCUUCAGUUGUGGGGUCCUCAUCACCGAGACCAUCCUUUUAUCUUUAGGAGGGUGGCGGCAGGAGGAUAGGGGCUAUAGCGAUCUAGAAUCGGUCUCCUUUUGCAUUUCCUCGGGCCCAAAGUUGAAACAGGGUUCCGUUCUACGAACCUCUGAAAGUGGUUCUUCUUUGUCUAAAACCAUUUACCGAACAUUAACAAAAAUCACCUGUAAGGAAAAUAAAACUGAGGGGACCUGGCUAUACUCUCGGUCCUUGAGCUUAAGUUUCUGAGGCUGUCCAGAUGGCGGGGGCUCUGGUAGAAGUUGGUUCUCCCAGGGGAGUUCGUUUGAGGCAUGGAUCCACUUUCCUGGCGGGGAAGGGCUGCAGCCCAGAGCCGACAGGGCUGGACCAGGUGCGGGGCAGGGGCGGGGUUACUCCGUGAGUCCAUGACAGACUCUGGCCUGAGAGCCGUUCGUCCUAGGGUUCAGGGGAAUCGUGGAACAUGCUGUUUUGUGCAGACACCUUCUCUUUCUCAGUGUUGCAACUUUUAAGGGUAUUUGUGUCCUGGGUCUCAUUUAAAAUGCUCCUUUUUACAAGGUGCUUUUGUUAGGAGCAAAAUCCACGGAUGGUGUGUUUCUAACCUGCUGUGUUGUUCACCUCAUGGAAAAAUGGGCUUGUUUUGCAUUAUUGACUCAGUGGAAAAUAUUACCUUGGUGGGGAUGGAGACGGGGUUACCAUUUUAAGAAAUGGUUUUUUAAUUAAAAAAAAUUUUUUGGGGGCCGUGCCACAGGCCACGUGGGAUCUUAGUUCCCCAACCAGGGAUCGAACCUGCGUCCCCUGCCUUGGAAGGGUGGAGUCUUAACCACUGGACCGCCAGGGAAGUCCCGGGGCUACCAUUUUUGAAAUAACUACCUAGGUUUACCUGUGCAGGUAGAAUGCAGCAUCUCCUAUUAACCACAAAUGGAUUUUGAAAAUUUACACAGAAUGUGAUAAAUGCAAUGGGGAUGACUCCUCUCCCCUUCCCCAUUCCUUCCUGGGACAUAUAUGUAUGUAUCUACCCUCCCACACCCCAACACACACAAGAGGACAUUUUUGAAAUAUGACGCGAUACUACAAAGAGGCUCUUUUAGCAUAAAAGCACAGAGGAACCCUGCUCUGGUGAGUUUAAUUUUGCAGUCUGAUUGUCUUGUGGUUACUCUACCCUGAAGCUAGACCACAGUGAGGGCCUCAAUCUCCCCACCCGACCACACCAAAGUAGGGGAACGGGCCACGGGGAACAAAAGAAGAGCUCCCCCCCGCAGCGCCCACGAGAGGGUGACCACAGGAGCCUGGCUUGGGGUGGGCAAUGACUGCUUCCAACGCCCCCGUCCCUGUGGGUGCUGUAAGGGUUGGAACGUAUGGCCUGAUGUGAAGUAAAGGACGGUCCUGUGCAUCCAUCUGGGCUCUGAGUGUGCUUGAAUAGCUACCGGCAAAGUAAACCGUUGGAGAUGGACGAUUACCCUCUCCCGGCCGAUUGGUGGCAGCGUGCUUGGUGACGUGGCUGGCCAGUCAGACAUAUUUCCACCAAAUAGCCCUGCGAGGAGGGAAUGUUGCUUUGACCUCGUUGUAGCACACUUCUCUCCCCCCGUGCCCUUCACCACCUAUCUAUCCCGCUGGUAAUCUUCUAAGUUAAAUUUUAAAAGUGAGUCCCCUGGGGCUUCCCUGGUGGCGCAGUGGUUGGGAGUCCG